GGAAGAGCUAACUUGCUGAGUCUUCCGGCAUUCGUCUUUCUUCCCUGCUGGAUGCUUCCUACCCGCGAACAUCAGACUCCAAGUUCUUCGGCCUUUGGACUCUCUUUUUUUGUUUUUUAAGAGACGGAGUCUAGCUCUGUCGCCCAAGCUGGAGUGCAGUGGCGUAAUCUCGGCUCACUGCACCUUCCGCCUCCUGGGUUAAAGCGAUUCUCCUGCCUCAGCCUCCCUAGUAGCUGGGACUACAGGCGCGCGCCGUCACGCCCGGCUAAUUUUUUGUAUUUUAGUAGAGACGGGGUUUCACCGUGUUGUCCAGCCUGGUCUCAAACUCCUGAGCUCAGGCAAUCCACCUGCCUCGGCCUCCUAAAAUGCUAGGAUAACAGGCGUGCGCCUCCGCGCCCGGCCUGCCUUUGGACUCUUGAACUUAGACCAGUUGUUUGCUGGGGCUCUUGGGCCUUUGGCCACAGACUGAAGGCUGCACUGUUGGCUUCCCUACUUUUGAGGUUUUGGGACUUGGACUGAACCAGUACUGGCUUCGUUGCUCCUCAACUUGCAGAUGGACUCUCAUGGGACUUCAUCUUGUGAUCGUGAAGGGGGCAUGAUCGAAUCUUCUGCUUUCCUUUUGAGCAUUUUCUCUGUGAGCCAAACUGACUGUUAUCCCUGCCACCAGGUAUAUUAAUGCUGUAAGGAAUUGUGCAGGAGGUCAAAAACCUGGAGGAUGCCUUACUUGGCCUGAUGUCAAGCCCUGAAAACAGCUGGCUGUCUGGUUGGAUCAGUCCCCCGUGGCAAACUCAGGACUCUGCGUUCCCAGUACUGGCUCACAGAAUCUGGUUGAAUCACCAAAAUGUGAAGACAAGCCUUCAGUUCCCUUCUUGACCACCAGCAUGGAACUAAACAAUUAAACCUGUCAGAAAAAAAAAAGCUGCUGUAUUUUAAGGUAACAGAGACAUGGACUUUUUAAGGUAACAGAGACAUGGACUUGAGAAGACAACUUGGCUCAAUUCCUAGCUCUGCAACUUACUUACUAGACUGCAUCCUAACAAACAACUGUGUCAAGACAUUUGAACAGCAUAUUCUACACAAAUAAAAAGGAAAUGAUAAAGAUAAAAGAAAUUAAUAGAAUGGAAAGUGAUGGAGAUAAACAAGUGAAAAGAUGGUCCUUUGAAAAGACUAAAACAUGGCCAAUGCACUGGCAAGAAUGAUUGGGACAAUAAACAAAAUAUAUAUGCCAGGGCAGCUCCCGGCGAGAUCGACGCAAAAGGAACCGACCUUUGAUCAUCCGCACGUGAGACUGCUCCCAGAAAGGGGGAACAAUGUUAAUUACCCACAGACUACGUUGGAUCCAGGCUUUCGGCAUUAUGUCUGUACUAAAUAAAAGCAAGCGCUGCAGCUUAUUAAAACUGCUCACUCUUUGGCAGUCCCCUAGCUGCUCUUA
rnacentral:lncRNA from 10 species